GAUCCUUUACUUACGAUUUGUGAUGCAGCUGCAGUCAGAUCUAGUAUUGUCUAAAAGUCUGGAAUUCAUGGCAGCAUCCACUGGCAAAGGCCCACCCAUGAGGCCGUUUAAAGACAUGUCAAACAACCAAUCAUAGUUCGUUUCGUUCAUCGUCAAGUUUUAGGGUGUGGAAAUGUCACCACAAUAACAGACCGGUGUGUAAAUCCCUCGGACGUAUUUUAAAGAUUCUAUGCCGCAAACUUUAAAUAUUUAACAUAUUUUGAAAAUCCAGCAUUAAGUUGAUCCUGAUAAUCGCUCGUCGUCACAGUUGUAAACACGGUGGCUUUCUUCUUUCUUGAAGGGGGUUUGCUGCCAUGGUAUCUUUGUUUCUAUGCGGAAUGUUAAAGAAUGCUACACACACUUCUCACGGAAAUCCUGUAGAAUUCAACCAAUCCAAUGACAACUUCAACAAUCCUGAAGUAUUUCCACUUUUGUGUCCCAUAUGCAUCAGACGUUCAACGGUCCAUGGGUGUGACGCCUGAGGCUGAGACUAGAUCUAGUACCACUUCAUCUUUCAACAAAUGUUUUUUGUUAACUCUCCAUGACACUGCAUGUGCCUUGUUUCCAAAACAACAUGCACACAAUCCGGGAUGCCAUUGAAAUUAAACUAUCCACUUGUUCCUUACGCUGGGAUCCUUCUGAUAUCUGUACAGAGACAUGAACGAGCUUUUAAACCAAAUGUGUCAAAGUGAACGUUCUUAUAUAUACAAACUGAAUUGAAACCAUAUUUUUUUGUGAUACUGUGGUUUUUCUGGAACAUUCUCAGUCAUAAGUGUGCAAAUGUAGCAUUAAUUAUCCAGCAUUAUAUUGUAUGAUAUACUUUCUGUGACAGAUGAAAUUCAAGCUCCAAUCCAAGGGCUCUACGUUCUCCCCAUUUCUGCAGAAACUAUUUCUCCUAUCACUGCUCUUCAAGAGGAAAAAACAGAGACAAUUUCUCCUACCAUUGCUCAGCAAGAGGACAACACGGGUAAAAUAACAGUUUGUUACAUACAUGGCACAUAUUUACAACUUGACAAGUUGCGGGGCAAAAACCAUUGACAAAUGUCCAGGUUUGAUCACUAUAGAACUGAUAUAUGUUGAAUGAAUAAACAAAAUGAAUGUGUUUCGCCUUCCCAGAGACAGUAGUAAGCUUGGACGAUGUCACCAUGUCCCCUGCAAAAGUAAAAUGCCCUUCUUGCCAGAAGAUUGUCAGAACUGAGAUCUACUAUAAACUAGGCAGCAAUGCCUUUCUCUUUUGCUGUCUCUUAUCUGUGGUAGGGUGCCUGGCCGGAUGUUGCCUGGUCCCCUUUUGUAUGAAUCGCUUCAAAGAUGUCACCCACAAGUGUCCAUCCUGUCACAAAGAUAUAUGUUCAGUAAACAGAAUUUGAAGCAAAGAGUAAUACAGUUAUUGAUCUGUAAUAACACACCUGUGGAAACCUCCAGAUGAGCUUAAAGCUGAGCACAGGUGUCAGGCCUGGAUUUUUGUCUCUGUGUUGGGGAAGUCAUGUAGGUUUGAUAUGUGGUGAAACUACUGUACAAAUGAAUUCAACUAUAGUCAAGUUAAGCAAAUAAUAAUUGACUAAGACUAAGAGGAUCUACUGUGCUACAUUAAUAUUGUGCAAAUGGCCACUAGUCCAGCAGUGUAUCAACCAUUUCCAAUAUGUCUUUAGGGUGAUAGAAUCAUAGUCAAGACUAGUGGUUGUAGAAGUAAACAAAUCAUGUACCUCUGGCUCAUUCUGAAUCAGAUUUGACCAAAUCAGUGGUUUAGACUAACUCCGUACACUCCUGCAUUUGGAUCAAUUGAAUUUUAUUUCUUUGUUUCACAAUUUCUAAAAUGUAGUGCAGUACAUGUACGUUCCUCCAAAAUGGAGGAAUAGUACUUAUAGUAGGCUUAUUAUAUUACAUAUAUACAACUAUAAGUACUAUUUUUCAUAUA